UACGGCUAUAUCACAUUGAAACAUCAGUUCUCGUACGAUCCCCAAAGUUAAGCAACGUCAAGCUUGGUCAGUACCUAGAUGGGUGACUGCUUGCCAAUACUAGGUGCUGUAAG